UACGUAGGGUGCGAGCGUUAAUCGGAAUUACUGGGCGUAAAGCGUGCGCAGGCGGUCUGUUAAGACCGAUGUGAAAUCCCCGGGCUUAACCUGGGAACUGCAUUGGUGACUGGCAGGCUUUGAGUGUGGCAGAGGGAGGUAGAAUUCCACGUGUAGCAGUGAAAUGCGUAGAGAUGUGGAGGAAUACCGAUGGCGUAGGCAGCCUCCUGGGCCAACACUGACGCUCAUGCACGAAAGCGUGGGGAGCAAACAGG
rnacentral:rRNA from 1 species